CAGCCGCCGCGGGAACACGUAGGGCGCAAGCGUUGUCCGGAAUUAUUGGGCGUAAAGAGCUCGUAGGCGGCUUGUCACGUCUGCUGUGAAAUCCCGGGGCUCAACCCCGGGCGUGCAGUGGAUACGGGCUGGCUAGAGGCAGGCAGGGGAGAACGGAAUUCCCGGUGUAGCGGUGAAAUGCGCAGAUAUCGGGAGGAACACCGGUGGCGAGGGCGGUUCUCUGGGCCUGUUCUGACGCUGAGGAGCGAAAGCGUGGGGAGCGAACAGGAUUAGAUACCCCAGUAGUCCCUGUCUCUUUAUA
rnacentral:rRNA from 1 species